CCACUUGACUUCGCAUUGCAGGAUGUCUGACUCUAGAGUACCUCAUCCAAGAUACCUGGCUAGAUGAAGCACAAGCUGGAGUCAAGAUUGCCAGGAGAAAUAUUAAUAACCUCAGACAUGCAGAUGAUACCACCCUUAUGGCAGAAAGCAAAGAGUAAUUAAAGAGCCUCUUGGUGAAGGUGAAGCAGGAGAGUGAAAAAGCUGGCUUAAAAUUCAACAUUCAAAAAACGAAGAUCACAGCAUCUGGUCCCAUCAGUUCAGUUCAGUUCAGUUCAGCCGCUCAGUCGUGUCCGACUCUUUGCGACCCCACGAAUCUCAGCACGCCAGGCCUCCCUGUCCAUCACCAACUCCCAGAGUUCACUCAGACUCACGUCCUUCGAGUCAGUGAUGCCAUCCAGCCAUCUCAUCCUCUGUUGUCCCCUUCUCCUCCUGCCCCCAAUCCCUCCCAGCAUCAGAGUAUUUUCCAGUGAGUCAACUCUUCGCAUGAGGUGUCCAAAGUACUGGAGUUUCAGCUUUAGCAUCAUUCCUUCCAAAGAAAUCCCAGGGCUGAUCUCCUUCAGAAUGGACUGGUUGGGUCCCAUCACUUCAUGGCAAAUUGAUGGAGAAACAAUGGAAACAGUGACAUUUUAUUUUCUUGGGCUCCAAAAUCACUGCAGAUGGUGACUGAAGCCAUGAAAUGACAAGACGUUUGCUCCUUGGACAAACCUAGACAGCAUAUUAACAAGCAGAGACAAUACUUUGCCUACAAAGGUCUGUAUAAUCAAAGCUAUGAUUUUUCCAGUAGUCAUGUACUUAUGUGAGAACUGGACAAUAAAAAAGGCUUGAGCACUGAGGAACUGAUGCUUUUGUACUGUUGUGUUGGAGAAGCCUCAUGAGAGUCCCUUGGACAGCAGGAGCUCAAACCACUCAAUCCUAAAGGGAAUCAACCCUGAA
ensembl:lncRNA